AAAAAAAGGUAAAUUUGUUUAAAAAAAAAAAAAGGUAACAAAAGGGAAGAUGAAAAAGUGAGACAACUUCUUUUCCCAAUCAGGAGAGGGAGGCAGAAAGGUAAUUUUUAGGCAUAAAAGGAGAAAAUACUUAAAGGAGGCUUGUAUUUUUAAAAAAUCUGACAAAGAUGCCCUUGAGCCAGUUUCAUUUGAGACCUAUAUGAAUUAUGUGGCAGAUGUGACAGGGGAAAACGGAAAAUAGCCAAAAAUUAAACUGUAUUACCCUUUCCCAUAAAGAGCUGGGACUAGGGCCUCAAAAUAAAAAAGAUACAAGUACAGUUUUAAUUGAUGCCUGAAAUUGAAAUAUUAGGUAAAACCUAAUAUUAAAGCAGGUAAGUGAGUAGUUUGUUCUGGUAUUGUUGAUGAAAGAAAAGGAUGCAAGUUUCUAGGAACAAAAGGGCUGAAGAGGAGGAGACCAAGAAAGCUAGAGGUGAUAAAUUUAACUCUUACUGUUAAUCUCUGUCCACAAAUCAAAAUCCUCAGGUACAGUAUGAGAAUCCUGUUGCAUGUGAGAAGUGUAAGAGGAGAUGUUUGUGCUCCUGUCAACAGAAGACCUGAAAAGAAGGAAGAAAGUGGUCCUCUAAGUUACUACUUUUGUCUCCACUUCUCCCCACCCCUUCAUAGUAGGGGGAAAUGAACACCUCAGGGAUUUGAGUUAGAAAUAGCCUUAAAGCAUACCAUCCUGCCUACUGAGGUUCAUGCUAAGGUCUUUCUAGCAUUUGCCUUCAAUUCCAGAGGACUAGGAUCCAAGACAUUGAGUCAUGUUGACAGUUCCACUUGGCACCAAAAGCAGGACCUGACAGAUAAAGGGGGAUUCUGGUAGCCUGGAAGAGGAUCCCCAAGAACACAACCCCUCUUUCGUCUGCCAUUUCCUUGGCACACAGAAUACAGUGCCCUUCCUCUCCCUACAGCAAAGAUUGCAGUUUCUCAACAGGCUGGUAAGAACAAGGGAAGAAUCUCUUCCUUGGAUCUCAUUUUGUGAGCUAGUCAGCCUUGAGUUUCCAUUCCAACAUAAUCUCCCAACCCUAGUUCAUAUGAAUUCUCUUCUUAGUAGAAAGCUGAGAAAGGUACCUUUGAUCACCUUUUGGUUCUCAUAAUACUUCAAAUCCAUUAGUAAGGUCAGAAGCUUGCCUUCUAAAGGCAUUUCAUAUAGUCUUGCCUAGACCAUGCCUAUUUCUACAGUUCUUGACUGCACAUCUGCUGAAACUGAAAUGCCUAGGGCCUGGGAAAUCCCAUAGGCCAACUCCCAGGGAAGACCCAACAGAAUGCCUUGGCAACUUUUUAGAGAACUAUUAGACUUCAGAUUUUUGCCUAAGGUGGAUACUGAAUUUUUAUCAUACAUGAAUGCACAAAUUAUUUCUUUAUAAUAUCUGUUCCUAGAAUUGAUUAAAUACCACACCCAACCUCAAUAGGAAGAAUGAGAUAGAACCUGUAAUUAUACUCCCAUGUUUCCUUGUCACCAACUUUUUUGAGCUUAAUUCCCUAGGCCUCAAUCAUUGUUUACCUUCUUUAUACAGUACACAAUACUAGACUUGAGUGAAGAAGGCGAGAUAGGGUUGAAAAAGAUUACAACCCCUCACUCAUAAGGUCUUUGGUAAGUCCUUAGUCCUUCCUUCAAGGGAUGACUCUCAUGAUCCUCCUAGAGACCCUCCUGGUUCAGCUUCUGAACUUCCUUUUCUAGUAUUAUUUUUCCAACUUACCUAUUCUGACAACAGAAUAGAUACAUGAGGAGAGGGAUGAGAUCAGCAUUCAAGACAGUGCCCUAGGCUUUAGGACAAAAAAAAUCCAGAUUCCUAAGCUUCAGUUCCUUCCUGCCCGCAGCUCCCUCCUUGCUUGCACUUCUACCUUCCCGCUUAAAGCCACACUACCAAGCUUCAGCUUUCAGAUCACUUAUAUACCUCUUCCCUAUGCUGGACCCUCUUUCUGGAAUGCCCUCUUUUUAAUAUGCCCUCUUUAUAAUAAUAUAAAAGGCCCAUGAGGAUGACCACCAAAGUUAGAAUCUUUCAGACUCCAAACCCUCCACCAGAUGCUAGGAAUGCAUCAUGUGAGCAGAAACAGAUUAGUUCACAUCCUCAGUGCACUCAGGAGAACAAUGAGGGAUUCAGAUUGAGCUAAAUGCUAUGAAGGCCCAAUACAUAUUACACCAUAUCACUAUGAUGAAACAAAGGAGCCUGAUCUAGACUGAGGGCCACAGAUGGAUUUCCAUGCCUAGAGCUUUAACUGCAGUCAGUAGGCCCUCUUCUGUCCACACACCUUUGCCACAGCCCUUCACCUACUACCUACAACAGCCCUCACCUCAGUAUUCAAGGGGAGACGUGUCUCUCACGAGUCAUGAGUGCUGUGAAUGAGGCUGGAGGCCUCUGCAACUAGAGAAGAAGUCAUAGGCCAAUAGCAGAGAAGCCCAAAGGGCUCUUCCCAUUUGUGCAGGUCCUGUGGGCUCCCUCCAGAAAAAGAAUGCCUGCCAGUAUCCUCUACAAGACAGGAGUCCGGCUAGAGUUGGAGGAAAACUGAAGUGGAAAGCCUUAAUUCCACAAGGCCAGAACAUCCGGAACCAUAGAAGGUAGGGCGCUGCCAGAAUCAUCUCAUAGAGCAUGGGACCAGCAUGUGGAGGGCGUCCACAAACCCACAGGAGGCUAAAGGCACCUUCUGUUCUCACCAAGGCAGGUGAGGCAAGGUGGCCCCAGGGUAGGGCUAGCCUGGAAACAACCAGCUUCUGGAAAGUGUCAGAGCAGUGCAGAUCUUUCAAGUAUCCCUUGAGAAUGUGUGAGGGAAACCUGGCCCUCAGGAAUGCUGAUUCCACAGGGAUUCCACAUGCAAAGUCCAUGCAACAGGGAGUCAAUGAGAUUUCAUAAAGGAAAAAUGUAAUGUCACUGGGUGAAGUCUUUGAGGAAUGGAGGAUCAUGCCUUCUAGAGAGUGGAAAGGAAAUCCUCUGCAUGUACAAGUCCAAAGGAAGGGAAGCCCUCAGGCAGCACAUCUCUGAGUCCACACAGACAGACGAGUGGAGGCACUCGUCUCUCCAUUUAUGCAGAGUACCCAGGGGGUGCUGACAUGACCCCAGUGAUGGGCAGUAACCUAAGUACAGGGGUGCAUGAAAGUAGGGGAUAUCUCAUGACUACAGGAGAAACAAAAUUUCUUGGGUCAGGGUAAAGUUCCUUGUUGGAAAAGUUAAGACAGCCAGUUGGGGGUACCAAGAAGGAAGGUGAUGUAAAGGCCUGGGACCCUCACAGGAUAAUCAUGAGGCUAGGGAGGAGGGCCAUAACCAGGACAGCAAAUUAAGAAGACCAAAGGCAGCUGCAGAGGAAUGCAGGGAAGUCUGCAAGGCAACGACAGCUGGUGCUUCAAGGGAAAGAUCCUGGACUUCUCCACACUCCUCAGCAGCCAUAGCCUACGACAGCUUUGCCACUGUCUUUCACCAGACUUCUGCCUGCUUUCCCGCAGGCUGGUCUUCCAGGAUGCAUUGCCAAGGUCUUGUCCCCAAACCUUGGAGGCCCUCUGUCAACUGCCCUGCCCCCACCUCCACUUAAUUGUUUGGUACAUAAGUUUCUCCAACACUCCAUUCCAUCUAUAGCACCCUCCUAUUCUUCCCCCCUCCCCCUCCAAAUACAUUAUGGAGGUAUAACUCUAACGAACAUUAUUCCCCAAUAUAGCCACAGGGCUCUCUCCCAAAUAACCUUAGUGUCUUUGCUCAAUUCUCCUCCUCAACCUCCACUCCCCCACCCCAUCGAAUGUAAACGCAAAAAAUGAAAGUAAAAAGGUCCCAUCUGUCUUGUUCACAAGCUGUAUUUUCAAGAACUAAAAUGGCCUGACAUUCAAAUGAUAAUCACUAAGUGACUUGCCUAUACUACUCUGCCAGGCAUUGUCCUGGGCACUUCAGCCACUUUAACCUAGUGGGGGCUAAUAUUUCCAGUCUCACAGAUGAGAAACUAAAUACAUAUUACAAACAGAAGUUGAUAUUUAUGUAUAAUCCCCCUUUAUUUUUUGCACAGAUAGCAGGCGCUAUAAUCCGAAUCCCUCUCCCUUAAAAAAUUUUUGAGGGCGCUAUGGUCUCUUACAUUCAGGGAUGAGGGGAGUGGGAGACACUACAUAAUCACGCUCCCCGCGGUUGAAGGCAGCCAGGCUGGGAAGCCCUGCUUCCCAGUCCGGGGGCACCUCUGGCCACGCCUGGAUCUCCAGAGCCGCAGGCCUUUCUAUAGGGUGGUUAAGCCCCGAGUCAGCGUUUGAUCACUCUCCGAAGCUUGACCCGGGAGUUCCUUCCUCUCAGUCUUUCAGUUUCUGCGAGAGUGCUCAGAGUUCUUGCCUAGACCGGAGCCGAGUGGCGGUCCAGCAGUGCACAAGACAAUUUUUCUUUCAUUCUGUGUUUCCCUCUCCGUAACUCAUACCUUCCUGGACCAAGUCCUCCCGGAGUUAAUCUCUGCGCUAAACUAUCAGAGCACAGCCUCUUGAGGGAAGAGCAGCCCUCGGCGCAUGGAAAUGUGAGAGCUUAAUAGUUCACCACAACACAGCUUAUUUUAAAAAUGUCAUGCCGUAUUUUUCCUGCGGCCCGCCGUUACUCACAGUUGGGACCUCACACUUACGAGCCCCCACCCCGCGUUCCCCUCCGAGCCACCAAGCGGAAGGGGCCGGGCUUGCUCUGUGCCACAUAGGGGCGAGGAGCCGCUGGGCGAUCUUUAUGGGGACGUGUCGUACACUUGCCAUCUUCCGCUUCUUAGAUAUCACAUCCCAAUCAAAGUUGGAGGAGCCCUUUUAAAAACUCGGUCGUGUUGGUCUCAGAAUAUGUUGUGUAGCGGAGGG